rnacentral:rRNA from 1 species
UACAGAGGUCUCAAGCGUUGUUCGGAUUCAUUGGGCGUAAAGGGUGCGUAGGUGGCGUCGUAAGUCAGGUGUGAAAUCUCGGGGCUUAACUCCGAAACUGCAUUCGAUACUGCGGUGCUUGAGGACUGGAGAGGAGACUGGAAUUCAUGGUGUAGCAGUGAAAUGCGUAGAGAUCAUGAGGAAGACCAGUGGCGAAGGCGGGUCUCUGGACAGUUCCUGACACUGAGACACGAAGGCCAGGGGAGCAAACGGG